rnacentral:rRNA from 1 species
UACGUAGGGUGCGAGCGUUGUCCGGAAUUAUUGGGCGUAAAGGGCUCGUAGGCGGUUUGUCGCGUCGGGAGUGAAAUCAUCUGGCUUAACUGGGUGCUUGCUUUCGAUACGGGCAGACUAGAGGUAUGCAGGGGAGAACGGAAUUCCUGGUGUAGCGGUGAAAUUCGUAGAUAUCGGGAGGAACACCAGUGGCGAAGGCGGCGAUCUGGGUCGAUACUGACGCUGAGGUGCGAAAGCGUGGGGAGCAAACAGG